GCGGUUAUGGUUUAGUGGUAUAAUUCUCGCUUAGGGUGGCUCUUCGAGCUCGAUAUGCGAGAGGUCCCAGGUUCGAGCCCUGGUAACCGCC